GACGAACGCUGGCGGCGUGCUUAACACAUGCAAGUCGAACGGAAAGGCCCUGCUUUUGUGGGGUGCUCGAGUGGCGAACGGGUGAGUAACACGUGAGUAACCUGCCCUUGACUUUGGGAUAACUUCAGGAAACUGGGGCUAAUACCGGAUAGGAGCUCCUGCUGCAUGGUGGGGGUUGGAAAGUUUCGGCGGUUGGGGAUGGACUCGCGGCUUAUCAGCUUGUUGGUGGGGUAGUGGCUUACCAAGGCUUUGACGGGUAGCCGGCCUGAGAGGGUGACCGGCCACAUUGGGACUGAGAGACGGACCAGACUCCUACGGGAGGCAGCAGUGGGGAAUAUUGCACAAUGGGCGGAAGCCUGAUGCAGCAACGCCGCGUGCGGGAUGACGGCCUUCGGGUUGUAAACCGCUUUCGCCUGUGACGAAGCGGGAGUGACGGUAAUGGGUAAAGAAGCACCGGCUAACUACGUG
rnacentral:rRNA from 1 species